GUUCUUCUAGCGCCUGCGCCUCGUUGGGUCGGGGGGCCCCGGAAUCUGUGUGACCACGGCGGAGUCCUAUAAAUGUUGGCGCCGUCACGACCACGCUUUCUGGUUUUGCAGGACGCCCGGAUACCCCAAACCUAAGGCUGACGCUGCCAGGAACGUCGGGCUCGGCUGUCCUAAUCUUUCAAUAAAGCUGUUGGUCUAACGUG